GAACUAACAGUUAGAUACUGUUUGAAGGUACUAGAACGAUGGUAAAUAUCCAAAAUGAAUGGAGAGGGGGAUGGAUGAAGCAAUGUGUUAGAGUCAGGCAACCAGGACGGGGCCAGCUGGAAAUAAGAGGGGGACUUGGGAUCUUAUUUGGAAUGAAGCUUCUGGAAGGUUUUUGGAGAGUUAGGAUCUGAUUUAGGUUUUAUGGAGCCAUUUCUAAUGGCCUUGCCGAGAACACAGUAAGGCAAGGCCGGCAUCAGGAACGGUGGAGAGGCUUUAAUUGUGGAGGUGGCAGCUGCCAGAGGUGGGACAGGGUGCCCCCGAGAGGCAAAGUCACUGUUUGCACCUGGCUCCACAUGCUAAGACGGCCACUUGCUUUCCAAUGCUCCGCUGACGUCACCUCAUCGCCUCGGUGCCGGAAUGCACACAAACAAACUCGACUGGACGCCCAACACUGCAGAUCCGAGCUCGAGGCGAAGCCUCAGUCCGUUGCUGGCAAUGACAGCUGAGUGAUGGGGCUUAACUCUUAAAAUUAAUACAUUUAGAAUCUUUGCAUGAAACAAAGUCCUGGAGUUGUAGCAACUCAUAAAUAACCUUGCUGAAGCCUUCAACUGGUGACCCAGCAGCUUCCAGCUUGUCAAUAGAUGUGAUUGAGUGUAAAGCCUCUUGGCAGCCAUCGUGGAGCUAAGGCAACCCCUGCAGAAGUUACCUCCACAGAGGAUCGACUGCCCACAAUUCCUGGCUGGGGCACCAAAGCCUCAGGAGACAAGCUGAGGCUUUAGACAAACAUCAUACCUUCCCCAAAAUGGUCAUGAAUUGAGGUAAGCCAGAGAGCAUGGUGAGCCUGAGACCUGCUGAUGAAUGGCAGGCUUUCCAGCCAAGAAUAUUACUGGAUCUUUCUUGUCCUGAUUCGGCUUCCUAACUUGACCUUACUUGAAAACAGAAUGGGCUAUUUCGAGGUUGAGAGUGAGGAUUUAUUGCCACGGAAUUUGUGAAUUAGUUUUCUUCUCUAUUGGGACCUGAGCCUUUGGUUCGUCUUCAGUGGGGUUUGACCUUGAACCACAUGCUGCCUGCGCUGCCCUUGACACCGGACCAAGUAUCUAGCUUCAGAAUGGAAGAUUGGAGAGCUUCCUCUGUCUGUCCUGCUGCUUCCUAAAUAGACCCAGAUAGUAACACUGAAAUGGUGAAAACAAGAGUAUUGCUUUUAUCAGCCUUGUGGUUUCCAACCAAAGCCAACGAUACAUGGGAAAAGGGAAUGUGGAAAAGCUCAUGACUGUACUCAACCAACAAAGCCAAGCUCACAUACUCUUGUAUGACCUGCCGGUGUAAGCCAAGCAAACCUUUCCUUCCCUCAG
rnacentral:lncRNA from 1 species